AAGUUUGGGGUAGGCCAGGGGAACGGUACUGAGGGUGAAUGAGUUGGCCUCAAAAGCUCUGAGAGAAUCUGGAGAAGUUUGUCGCAAUGAGGGAGUCAAGAAACAUGGUCAAACAAAAACACCUGCAGCAACAUCUAGAACUUGUCACCGAGCUCUCUGCCAUUGAGGGAUCCUCUCCAGGACAUCAAUCAACUGGGCUGAGACAGCUCCGUUAUCUGCAGGACCCAGUGCAAAAUGUAAACGUGGGACCCCUUAUUCAAAAAGCACAAAAAAAUUUCCACUAAACGUACUAAACUAUCAAGCUGUUACCUUUCUCCCACAGUCUCCACGUUGUUUUGUCAUGUCUCUUUUAUUUGCUAUCUAAUGUCAUUCUAAGAAAAAAAUUUUGAUUAUUACAAGGAAUUUUACCAUUCAUCUUUGUAUUGUGUAAUACAAGAUUUAGAAUAUAAGAGCAUUUAAUUUAUAUGUAUAAUUACUGAAAUUAUACAAUUUAUAUUUCAUAGUUCAUAUAUGCAUGUGUAUUUUGCUCUUACCAAAUUAAGAAGAAAUUUUGCACCAAAGCAGUGGCACAGUUUUUAUUUUACUUUUCGAUACAUGCACAUUCUACCAACACUCUCUACCUUUUGCUACAGGCAAGUAAGAAAAGACUGAAAGGAAAAGGAACUAUGGGCUGUCCUGUUUUUCCCUUUCCUUCUGUGUCAUCAUUUUUUAUGAUGAAGUCUGAAGACUGAAGUUUCUCCACACCCUGCAUGUCAAAGUGCCUUGUACCACUUGACAUAUCAAGGCUGCAGCCCGGGUCCGAGAGAGCAUGGCUUCUUUGUCACAGCAGCUUUUCCAUAUCUUAGAAGGCCUGGAGGAGCAGAGUGGUGACCACCUUCUUGAUGUCUGAAAUCUCUCACCUCCACUCCCCACCAGGCUGGUUCUCAAGCCACACAUGAGGAUAACAUUGAUUCCUGCCUUAGUUCUGUCUUUAGAGGGGCUUCUUGUGCCCACCUUGUUCUGUUCUCAGAAAUUAGUCCUUCCUUCUAUUCCUAAGACUUUCAUAAACAAUACAAAGUUUUUAAUAGGAAAAAACAAGAAAGAGAAAAGGAAAGGAUAAAAACAGUAAUCUCCUGGAAGAAAAAUUAAUAUGGUUAAUAAAUAAAAAAUAAAUAAAUGGAUGGAUAAAUAGAUGAUAAGUGAUGUGUAUCACCAGUGAUAAGGGAUAUAUAAAUUAAACAUCAUUUGUCACUGAUUUGUUAAAUGUUAAAAAGAUUGACAAUAAACCAGCCUUUAAAUUAAUGCAUAAUUUAUGAUAUUUGGAUUCCUACAUUGAAGACAUGAAUGUUUUUUCCUUUACUAUAAAGACAUUCAUUUUAGAAUAACAAACUUUAAACCUAAAGUCCAAGCUUUUUAGUUAGAGUCUGGAAAUAUAAUUGACCACAUUCCCGUGGUCAAAUUAAAAUACAUCUUAUUACCCAAAAAAAAAAAGAAUGUAAAUUCAACCCCCUGGUAUGUUUCCAAACUCUCACACAAUGCCAUGCUGUU
rnacentral:lncRNA from 1 species